rnacentral:lncRNA from 1 species
GCACCAGGGGUCACUACGUCAAUGCUGAUCGCUUUAAAUAUAAAAUUUUGAGUUAAAAAGUUUUGGAUGUUAUAAGUCGGUACGAUUAGAAAAAGUUUUCUCUGAAAAUUUUGUGGUCAUGGCAGCUGGCGAAAGUACUUAUAUAUUGGAGAAAAAAGUUGUGAUUUCGCCCACUUCGCCGUCUCAGGAAAGGGACAAUGAAAGCUUUGGUUCUACUCAUGAUGUCAAACAAUUAAUUCUUGAUGAACCAGUUGGUAAAAGUACUGAAACAAGUAAUCUUCAUCAAACUGGAUUUAAUUAUAUCAACAGUAUCAUUGGGUCUGGUAUUGUUGGUAAGAUAUCUUUUUAAUUUCUAUUCAUUUGUUGACUUGAA